AUUGAACGCUGGCGGCAUGCUUUACACAUGCAAGUCGAACGGUAACAGGCCGCAAGGUGCUGACGAGUGGCGAACGGGUGAGUAAUGCAUCGGAACGUGCCCAGUCGUGGGGGAUAACGCAGCGAAAGCUGCGCUAAUACCGCAUACGAUCUAUGGAUGAAAGCGGGGGACCGUAAGGCCUCGCGCGAUUGGAGCGGCCGCUGUCAGAUUAGGUAGUUGGUGGGGUAAAGGCUCACCAAGCCAACGAUCUGUAGAUGGUCUGAGAGGACGACCAGCCACACUGGGACGGAGACACGGCCCAGACUCCUACGGGAGGCAGCAGUGGGGAAUUUUGGACAAUGGGCGCAAGCCUGAUUCAGCAAUGCCGCGUGCAGGAAGAAGGCCUUCGGGUUGUAAACUGCUUUUGUACGGAACGAAACGGUCCUGGUUAAUACCUGGGGCUAAUGACGGUACCGUAAGAAUAAGCACCGGCUAACUACGUGCCAGCAGCCGCCGUAA
rnacentral:rRNA from 1 species